CGACCGACGGCUCAGGACGCCCGUGUCGUGUCGAAAGAAACCCCAUUUCUCUCUCUCUCUCUCCCGCACUGAUCGCCAGCCGCCGCCGCCGGGAAGACGAGCUCCGACUUGAAACCACCCAAAACCCUACCGCACCUCCUCCCGUCCUCGCCGCCGCCGCCCUCGCUCUUCCGGAACGAUGCCGCUGGGGCUGAUACUGAGCUCGAUCGGGAGGUCGAUGCGGCGGAAGCGGACGUCCUCGCUCAACAUCCUCUCCUCCAAGAGGGCGCCCCGGGACUACUACAAGGGCAAGAAUUGCAAGCCCACCGGGUUCCACACCCGCAAAGGUGGCUAUGUGAUGGUGGAUGCAAAGUUACCAAGAUUCGUGGUCCCUGACUUGACUGAUUUUAAGUUGAAGCCAUAUGUAUCACAAUGUGCCAGGGACGAACUCGGAGCCUCCUCAGCUGAAAACAAGAACUGAUGUUUCUAGAUGCUCUAGUUGUUACUUGUUUUACAAGAAUGCAAUGCAGCUUUGCAAUUAUGUUUUCUCACGGUGCCCAUGUUCAGAGCAUCUAACCUCGUCAAGAUUGGUCCUAGUGUACUAGUCGUAAUAACAAACUUUGUGCCUCAGCAUGAAUUCGAUUUUUUUUUUACCAAUGUUGAUUUACUCUGCGUUCACAUGUUUUCUAGCAUUUGUGAUGUUCCAUUCUGAAGC
rnacentral:rRNA from 1 species